AUUGAACGCUGGCGGAAUGCUUUACACAUGCAAGUCGAACGGCAGCACGGACUUCGGUCUGGUGGCGAGUGGCGAACGGGUGAGUAAUGUAUCGGGACGUGCCCAGUCGUGGGGGAUAACGUAGUGAAAAUUACGCUAAUACCGCAUACGAUCUAUGGAUGAAAGCGGGGGAUCGCAAGACCUCGCGCGAUUGGAGCGGCCGAUAUCAGAUUAGGUAGUUGGUGGGGUAAAGGCCCACCAAGCCAACGAUCUGUAGCUGGUCUGAGAGGACGACCAGCCACACUGGAACUGAGACACGGUCCAGACUCCUACGGGAGGCAGCAGUGGGGAGUUUUGGACAAUGGGCGAAAGCCUGAUCCAGCCAUUCCGCGUGCAGGAUGAAGGCCCUCGGGUUGUAAACUGCUUUUGUACAGAACGAAAAGGUUUCUACUAAUACUAGGAGCUCAUGACGGUACUGUAAGAAUAAGCACCGGCUAACUACGUGCCAGCAGCCGCGGUAA
rnacentral:rRNA from 1 species